GUCUAUGGCCAUGCUACCCUGAGCAAGCUGGAUCCCAUCUGGUCUCGGAAGCUAAGCAGGGUCGGGCCUGGUUAGUACUUGGAUGGGAGACCACAUGGAAGACCAAGUGCUGUAAGCG
rnacentral:rRNA from 1 species